GGCCGUUGCCGAGCUCGUGGCGUGAAGGUGCGCCGUCUCACGUACCUUCCGGGCCGUGUGCAGCCCAGAACCGGUUUUCCCGGUUUCUAGAAAGAGCGAGUUCCUUCUCUGAGGUGUGCCUGAACUUCAGGAACCGCUGUCAAAUGAUUCCAGCUGUGCCCACGCACAACGUUCAUAGUCUUUCGUAAACAUGAGCGUGUUCGGGAUUUUUUUUUUUUUUUAAAUGGGUCAUGAGAUUCUCCCGUGUGAACUUUUGUAGAUGACAACACAGUGUGCCAAUUUCAAAAGGUUGGACAGACCCGGUAGGAUUAUCUCUCCAAUCCCUGUAGAAGUCAUAACCCAUAUGACUUUUGAAACAGAAGCCGUAGCCCAGUGUGGGGAAGGAAGCAAGCAAGAGGGAAUAGCUGCAGUCCAUGUCUGUCCCUCUUUUCUGCUGUCUGCUGCUCACAGGAAGUCUGUGCUAGAAGAGGAAAAACGUGCAACAUGAACAAUAGAAACCCUAAGGAAGACACCCAUAGAUGUAGAUCUACCUAAUGGAGUAUGUGGAGCCUACUAUCAAGUCUCCAAAGGAUAAUGACUCUCCUUCUCUCAACGGCCAUCACCAUCUGUAGGCUUCUAAAUCCAUGACUCUCUUCCUCAUCUCCCUGAGUGAGUGGUCUGGAAGAAGUGGCAACUAGCAAAAGCUCCUGCUGAUUCGCACCAUGUCUCCAGAGGAAAGCAGAAAGCACAUUCUUUAGCACAGUUUUCAUCAGCUGCUUGUACAGUCAUUCUCCAUUCCUCAAUGUGCAAUGCAAGGUGUUUCAAAGUGUACUGUGUACUCCAAGUUCUGACUGCUCUACCGAGCCUGCUCUGAACUGCCAACGGAUGAAGCAUCUUGCCUGGAAGACUGAGUCCUAGAUAAGUUUCUAUCACUGCUCUGAAGAUCAUAACCAAAAGCAACUUGGACAGCAUCUUAGGGUUUCUAUUGCUGUGAAGAGACACCAAGA